UUAUGAAGGAGAGAUGCUCCACUCAGAGGUUAAAAUGAGGGAUUCUGUCAAAUUCGGCAAAAAAUCUAAAAAGACGCCUGUCAAUUCUCAAAUAAAAGCCUAAAGAAAUGCCUUCAUACAUUGUUUUAACAAAGUUUUCCGUUCUUAUGAGUAGUUCCUGUUUUCAUCUCGAGAAAACAACUCGGUGUGUUCAUUACGACCUGAUUUCGUUGGUAUUUUCGUUGGUUUCGCGCCGUACUUGUGGUAAAAUACUAUUUUUGUAUUGUUUUCUUGUACAUACAAACAUACUAACUCAUCUGAUUGUUUUGAUUAAAAUUGACCGUGAAUUUCCUCUAAAAACGCGUUUUUUUACUCGCUCUCAACUUCAGUAGGUGUGAGACGUCUUUCAGUAUUGACGAUCUUUGGUCAGACGGGAGACGCUGUUACGUCAGUGGUCGCCGCUCUCUGUGGCCCUCUGCUGGUCACUUUGAUAACAAUAAUAACAGAAAAAAAAACAAUAAUAAUAUUAAUAAUGAUAAUUAUAGUAAUAAUAAUGACAAUAAUUAUGAUAAAAUAAUACUAAAACAACAAUAAUAACAACAACAUUUUAUGUAUAACACUUUUAAAAACAGAAGUUCACAAAGUGCUUUGACAUGUAGUCAUAGAGCACAUGGAAAAGACAGAUAACAAAAAGUUUCAUUAAAACAGAAUUAAAGGAACAUUUUCAUUUGUUAUAAAUAACCCAGAAAAUACAAGAACCGUGCAACAUAAAAUGAGACCAUGAGGACCAAAAUUAAAACAUAAAAUAGGAAAGAGAAAAGAAAAUGCAAUUAAAAAGGGGGGGUUGAAAGUGGAAACAGGAUAGUAAAUAUAAAAGACAAUAUCAACAAUGAUAAUAAAAUAAUAACAGGUAAUACUGAUAAUAAUAGUAAUGAUAAAAUAGAGCAACAGAAAUGAGCGAGAGAUAAAACAAUAAAAGGCCUAAAAGGUUAAUUAAGAAAAGAGUACAGGAUUAACAAAAGACAGUAAAGCUGAAAUAAGAUAAAAGAGAUAAAAGAUAAGAUGAUACAAGUUAAAGUUCAGAAUUUAUCCAAACUUAGAGAAAAACCUGUCUUUUUAAAGAUGGAUGAGAACAGACUUAAGAGUCCAAGUUUAAUUAUUUUUCUGAUGUUUGUGUUCAUCUUUUUGUCCCCUCAGUCUUAACAUUUAUCCUUGAUCCCUGGCCCUGCCCUGUUAGAGGAUGACCCCCACAGGUGCUGCUGAUUACGAACAGGUGUGCCAAUGUGAAACGAUUCAAACUGAGCAGGGUGGCGUAAACAGGUAUGGUUGUUUUUUGUCUUAAUUAAAAUCUUAAUUGGUUCAACCUUCUCUGAUAUUUUGAAGGUGCAGUAUUCAGAGGUUUGGUUGAUCACAUUAAAAAGUCAUUUUAAUGAAAGACUUUAGUCUUGGUCAGCUGUUGUGAAAAGGCGCCCUCUAGUGGCCUCUCUUAUUGUAACAGGUCAGAAACAGCUGAUCAGACUGCUGCUCUGCCUGUUUUAUCCUCCUCUCAGUUUAUGAGAAUUAACUUCAUCAGAAUUCAAAUUCAGAUACAAACAUAUGGAGGUCAAUCCGUGCCAUCUGAUUUUGAAUUUGAAUUUCUAAAGCUGAAUCUUUUUUUGCAUCAAAAUCAGACUUUGAAUUUCACAACUAUUGAAUUUCAAGCACAAAUUUUUAUUUCUGAAACUUGUUUUUUUAACAAUGAUGAAAUGAGUUCAGUGUAAAAAAAAUCAGUUUUUUCAAAAGAUUUUUUUAAUCAAAAAUUCAACUUAAAAAAACUAAAAAAAAAA